CGCGGGGUGGAGCAGCCUGGUAGCUCGCAAGGCUCAUAACCUUGAGGUCGACUGUUCAAAUCAGUCCCCCGCAA
rnacentral:tRNA from 1 species